rnacentral:tRNA from 1 species
GGUGUUGUGGACCAGUGGAUAAGUCUCUGGGCUGUGAACCACAAAGUAACAGGGUUCAAAUCCCUGCCACAACA